GGGCCCCAUUUCUCGAACGGUAUUAGUCUAAUAUUAUUAGUGUGUUCCAUACGAUUGGACAGGGGCCCAUUUCUCGAACGGUAUUAGACUAAUAUUAUUAGUGUGUUGCCAUGGUAACCCAUACCAUUGGACAGGGGCCCAUUUCUCGAACGGUAUUAGUAUAAUA